GCGGCGGGCGCGGCCGGAAGCGGCGCUGCCAGGGAGCCGGGAGCGGAGCGCCCGCCAUGGCCGAGACCGACCCCAAGACCGUGCAGGAUCUCACCGCCGUGGUGCAGACACUGCUUCAGCAAAUGCAGAACAAAUUUCAGACCAUGUCUGACCAAAUUAUUGGAAGAAUUGAUGACAUGAGCUACCGCAUCGAUGACCUGGAGAAGAACAUCGCGGACCUGAUGACGCAGGCGGGAGUGGAAGAGCUGGAAGGAGAGAACAAGACCCCUGCUGCUAACAAGAGUUAAAAAACAUUAGCAAAGUAGAUGUUUCCUCUGCUUGGCAAGCAGAAGUUCAACAUCCAGUACAAAGACCUGGAAAUAAGCUCCGUGAUCAGGGAGCUCCACACACAGUGUUUACAGCAACUGCUGAAGGCACUUCAGGACACAGGGCACUGCAAGAGUGCCAAAACUGUUACACAUAAACAAGGUUGCCAGUAACUUCAGAUGAAUCCUGGAAGACUUUUUUUUUUUCUAUGAACCUUGGAAUUACAGAAGAGCUUUUUGCAACUGUUGUGUGUAAAAGCAUUUUUAUAUUGUUACAGAGCUUGCAUUCCUAAUGUAUAUUGUAUAGUUAGGGAUAGGUUAGUUUAUAUUUUGAUUUGUGUACUGUAAUUCCACUUUUUGAAUUCUUGUUACGAGGAUCAAUUAGUUGUGUUAUUAAAACACAGAUCUUAGGGAUCUCAACUACUGGGUGUAUUUGCGAAGUCACUUUUCCCCCUUUCUUAUACUUUUUCUAGACAUUUCAUUUUUGAUAGCUAAACGUCUAGUGACUCACAUCAAAUGGAAAACUUCUCUUGUACUAUGUAACUUUGUGGAGUGAAGCACAAGACUGAAACUUAGCAUUAAUCUUAGCUGUAAGCAUCAGUCACUCAACUAGUUGAGGACUCUCUUUCUCCUAAGCGUGAUAAGGUGAUUUUGGAAACAUAGGGCACUGAACAUCAAAAUCCUGUCUCCUGCUCCUGCUGUUACCUUACCUGGGUAUCCCUAGAACAUAAACCAGAAAACAGAGAUUUAACAUGAGACAUCUGUGCUGAGCAACCACUGCCAUUGAAAUCUGUUCUAUUUAGACGGGCAAGGAACCAUUGACUCUGAAGAAUCUCUCUGUGGGAUUUUAAUUUUUAACACUGUAGAACUGUUUUGAAACUGAAAAUGUGUCAUUUAACAUCACCUUUGAACAGUCAUUUUGGUUAAAAUAAUGGUACAGAACAGGGCUGGGAUUGCAGGAGUGUCUGGUCUUUCUGUUUAAAUUACUGGCUGGUUAUACAAAGCAGUUGGCUAAGAGACCAAUGGGAUAUGGAGUAACAGAAAGGGAGAGAACCCAGUUGGAAUUGCAGAGUCUUGCAUCUCUGAAUAACAGCUAGCUGGAACUCUUCAGAAUAUUUGGUUUAGAAAGGGGUUUACUUUUAUACUCAUAUCCACAUUUAUAGGCCUGGGAGUUGAAUGAAUUAUGUUAUUUUGACAAUGAAAAGUGUGUUCAAGGGAGUCCCUGCUGUGUCAGCUGUGAAGAAAAAUGGCCCAUGUUGGAUGUCACUGACAAUCACUGAGAUGCUCCUCCAGCUGGAAUGCAAAUCUGAGGAAGCACUGGUGGCAGGCAGCAGCUACAUGUGGACCACGUGAGGACUGCCCAGUGGAGGCCACCAAAUGAGCACCUGUGUGUUUUGAAGGCAACAUGACAGGUCAUCUUUCAAAAGUGAGGGAAUAUUGUGAUCAGAGCUCAUCACGGGAAUUUUGUGGCCAUAGGAAAUGUAUCAAUAUGCCUUGUAAUACCAGCCUUAGGCUCUUUGUAAUGUCAUUUAAAAAAAUCUAAUAAAAGUAUUAUGUGGAAAAAAAA